rnacentral:rRNA from 1 species
CAUUACCGAGUUUACAACUCCCAAACCCAAUGUGAACGUUACCAAACUGUUGCCUCGGCGGGAUCUCUGCCCCGGGUGCGUCGCAGCCCCGGACCAAGGCGCCCGCCGGAGGACCAACCAAAACUCUUAUUGUAUACCCCCUCGCGGGUUUUUUACUAUCUGAGCCAUCUCGGCGCCCCUCGUGGGCGUUUCGAAAAUGAAUCAAAACUUUCAACAACGGAUCUCUUGGUUCUGGCAUCGAUGAAGAACGCAGCGAAAUGCGAUAAGUAAUGUGAAUUGCAGAAUUCAGUGAAUCAUCGAAUCUUUGAACGCACAUUGCGCCCGCCAGUAUUCUGGCGGGCAUGCCUGUCCGAGCGUCAUUUCAACCCUCGAACCCCUCCGGGGGGUCGGCGUUGGGGAUCGGCCCUUUACGGGGCCGGCCCCGAAAUACAGUGGCGGUCUCGCCGCAGCCUCUCCUGCGCAGUAGUUUGCACACUCGCAUCGGGAGCGCGGCGCGUCCACAGCCGUUAAAACACCCCAAACUUCUGAAAUGUUGACCUCGGAUCAGGUAGGAAUACCCGCUGAACUUAAGCAUAU